rnacentral:rRNA from 1 species
GAAUAUUGGACAAUGGGCGCAAGCCUGAUCCAGCAAUGCCGCGUGGGUGAAGAAGGCCUUCGGGUUGUAAAGCCCUUUUGUACGGGCAGAAAUUCUGUCGGUUAAUACCCGGCGGGGAUGACGGUACCGUAAGAAUAAGCACCGGCUAACUUCGUGCCCGCAGCCGCGGUAAUACGAAGGGUGCAAGCGUUAAUCGGAAUUACUGGGCGUAAAGCGUGCGUAGGCGGUUGGUUAAGUCAGAUGUGAAAGCCCUGGGCUCAACCUGGGAAUGGCAUUUGAAACUGGCUGGCUAGAGUGUGAUAGAGGAUGGCGGAAUUCCCGGUGUAGCGGUGAAAUGCGUAGAGAUCGGGAGGAACAUCCGUGGCGAAGGCGGCCAUCUGGAUCAACACUGACGCUGAGGCACGAAAGCGUGGGGAGCAAACAGG